rnacentral:misc_RNA from 1 species
GAUGAAGAACGUAGCGAAAUGCGAUAAGUAAUGUGAAUUGCAGAAUUCAGUGAAUCAUCGAAUCUUUGAACGCACAUUGCGCCCCUCGGUAUUCCGGGGGGCAUGCCUGUCCGAGCGUCAUUACAACCCUCAAGCUCAGCUUGGUGUUGGGCCCCGCCGCCCCGGCGGGCCCUAAAGUCAGUGGCGGUGCCGUCCGGCUCCGAGCGUAGUAAUUCUUCUCGCUCUGGAGGUCCGGUCGUGUGCUCGCCAGCAACCCCCAAUUUUUUUCAGGUUGACCUCGGAUCAGGUAGGGAUACCCGCUGAACUUAAGCAUAUCAAUAAGCGGAGGA